rnacentral:lncRNA from 1 species
GUCCAACUUAUUAGUUUGGUCCAGGGAAAUUCUUUGUAAUCCUUCAUAAUUGGUGAAUUCUCCUCUUCUGUCCAUGAUUUUUUCCAAAUUAGGUUACAACGUAAAUGUUGUGCUCUAGUUAUUAAUUUUCUUAUUGCUUACUCUAGUAUUUCGUAACAAACUAGUAUCGUAAAAAAAAUGGUAUUGGCUCAUUUUCUAAUGGGUUUUAAUUGCAUGUUUAGUCGCUAAUCAAACAUUUUAAUACAUCAUAAAUUAUUUAUUAGUCACAAAUUUUCCAAUUAAUUUGUCAUAAUCAAUUUCACUUCAUCUCAACUUUACCCCAGUUGACUAUACAACAAUAAGCAUCACCCAAAUCAUGGCCUUCACCUCAAAACCACAACCACAACCACCACCACCACCACCACCACCAUAUCCUCGUCUAACUCACCACCACUACAACCAAAUGCAACCUCAGAUCCACAACCACAACUACAACAACAACAAUUACGACAACCAUUACCUCCUCCACCUCACAUCCAACUCACCACCACCACCACCUCCCCAAUUAACACAUCGUCACAUCACUAUCUUCACCUUAAAAACACCGUACUACAAUAAACCGUCCUUGUGUUCUGUAGAUUGGCAAGAAUGUUUCAUUAGAGAAUGAAGACGCAACAACAAUAAAGUAAGCUACAAAGCUAUCGGAACUCAUUCCAACAACAUAGUAUUUCUAAAUCCCUAAUUUUUUGAAAUGAUUCGGUGGGGACCAAACCCUUGAAUAAGGAU